rnacentral:ncRNA from 1 species
CUAUGACUUAAAGAGUCAUGGCGGAAGGAG